ACGGGAGGCAGCAGUGAGGAAUAUUGGUCAAUGGUCGGAAGACUGAACCAGCCAAGUCGCGUGAAGGAUGACGGCCCUAUGGGUUGUAAACUUCUUUUGCCGGGGGAUAAACCUGGCCACGUGUGGCCAGCUGAAGGUACCCGGUGAAUAAGCAUCGGCUAACUCCGUGCCAGCAGCCGCGGUAAUACGGAGGAUGCGAGCGUUAUCCGGAUUUAUUGGGUUUAAAGGGUGCGCAGGCGGCACGUUAAGUCAGCGGUGAAAUGCAGGGGCUCAACCCCGGCACUGCCGUUGAAACUGGCGAGCUCGAGUACGGAUGAAGUCGGCGGAAUGUGAUGUGUAGCGGUGAAAUGCUUAGAUAUGUCACAGAACACCGAUUGCGAAGGCAGCUGACUAAUCCGCAACUGACGCUCAGGCACGAAAGCGUGGGGAUCGAACAGGAUUAGAUACCCUGGUA
rnacentral:rRNA from 1 species